GAUGAAGAACGCAGUGAAAUGCGAUAAGUAAUGUGAAUUGCAGAAUUCAGUGAAUCAUCGAAUCUUUGAACGCAUCUUGCGCUCCUUGGUAUUCCGAGGAGCAUGCCUGUUUGAGUGUCAUCAAGUUCUCAAACUGCAUCCAUUUGAAGGGUGUGGAUUUGGAUUAUGGAGUUUGCAGGCUCUUUGAUUGAGGUCUGCUCCUCUGAAAUGUAUUAGUGGCGAUGUGGAAAAGCUACUGUGGGUGUGAUAAAUAUCUAUGCCUUAUGCAGUGUUCUGCUAUGCCGCUUGCAGGGAGAAAUUUCAUUUUUGACAAACUUGACCUCAAAUCAGGUAGGACUACCCGCUGAACUUAAGCAUAUCAAUAAGCGGAGGA
rnacentral:misc_RNA from 1 species